rnacentral:rRNA from 1 species
GACAGAGGUGCCGAGCGUUAGGCGGAAUCACUGGGCUUAAAGCGCGUGUAGGCGGGUCCGUAAGUGCCUUGUGAAAUCCCACGGCUCAACCGUGGAACUGCUGGGCAUACUGCGGGUCUUGGGCCAUCCAGGGGCGAGCGGAACAAGCGGUGGAGCGGUGAAAUGCGUAGAUAUCGCUUGGAACGCCAAUGGUGAAAACAGCUCGCUGGGGAUGCGCCGACGCUGAGACGCGAAAGCCAGGGGAGCGAACGGG